AGAGUUUGAUCCUGGCUCAGAACGAACGCUGGCGGCGUGUCUUAAGCAUGCAAGUCGAGCGGCAAGGCGGGGCAACCCGCCCUAGAGCGGCGGACUGGUGAGUAACACGUGGGUGAUCUACCCUUGGUUUGGGGAUAGCCUGUGGAAACAUGGGGUAAUACCGAAUACGUCGUCCUGGCUACGGCCUGGACGGGAAAGGCGCCAAGGCGCCGACCGAGGAUGAGCCCGCGCCCCAUUAGCUAGUUGGUGAGGUAACGGCCCACCAAGGCGAUGAUGGGUAGCCGGCCUGAGAGGGUGUACGGCCACACUGGGACUGAGAUACGGCCCAGACUCCUACGGGAGGCAGCAGCUAAGAAUAUUCCGCAAUGGACGAAAGUCUGACGGAGCGACGCCGCGUGGAUGAAGAAGGCCGAAAGGUUGUAAAAUCCUUUUGUCGGGGAAGAAUAAGCCUGGGAGGGAGUGCCCGGGUGAUGACAUGAACCGGCGAAUAAGCCCCGGCUAACUACGUGCCAGCAGCCGCGGUAACACGUAGGGGGCGAGCGUUGUUCGGAAUUACUGGGCGUAAAGGGCAUGUAGGCGGUUUUGUAAGCCUGGCGUGAAAUUCUGCAGCUUAACUGUAGGACUGCGCUGGGAACUGCGAGACUGGAGUCACGGAGAGGGAGCCAGAAUUCCAGGUGUAGGGGUGAAAUCUGUAGAUAUCUGGAAGAAUACCAAUGGCGAAGGCAGGCUUCUGGCCGAUGACUGACGCUGAGGUGCGAAAGCGUGGGUAGCAAACAGGAUUAGAUACCCUGGUAGUCCACGCGGUAA
rnacentral:rRNA from 1 species